rfam:Neotoma lepida isolate 417 scaffold_23, whole genome shotgun sequence.
AUGCCCAACGGGGCUGUGGAUACUUACCUGCCUUUUAAUUCUU